rnacentral:lncRNA from 1 species
AAAUAAUUGAACAAUGAAACCUUAAAAUUCUUUGCAUGUGAUGUUUAUAAAUUUACACCUAAAACCCCUUGAAUAUAAUGUUCCCAAGCCACCUAAGGAGGAGCAACCCUCACAUGCCAGUGCAAACAUCAUUCUAUUGUAGUGUUUCUCACAAUAAAAUAGUGAGUUUUUCACUGAGCUAUGUGUUCUGAGCAAGAUGCAGGAGAGCCUGAGGCUGUAUGUGAUCAAAAGCUUCACACAAUCUGACUGGGUCAAUGACUUUUUCCAGGCAAUUUAGACAAUUUUCUGUGUGCAGACAAAAUCCCUGGAUUUCUCCUCAGUGUUUAUCAAGAUUGUGCAGCGUCGUGUCCGUGAACUUCCAGAGUUUGCAUUAAAAAGUGACAGAACAUCAGAGUGCCAGAAGCUUCUCAUUUUGUGGCCCUGAAGGUUUGAGUGAGUCAGUGAAGGUGAAUCCCAGCUGAUGGCCAUGAGAAUGCUGAUUCCACUUGAGAAAAGCAAAUUGUUCUUCUGGAUAUAGUUUGAGACUCCAAAAGUGCCAUUCCUGAGGUCCAGGAUGACACACCAAGAAAAGAAGAGCAGCACAGAUAUCCCCCUCAUAACUACCUCAUCUUUGUUAAUUAUGCAACACCGGGUUCUGAGAUAAUUGGCCUGGCAGAGGUUAUACAUAAGCUCCCUCUAGUGGAUUAUUAAGCAGGAAUUUCUAAAAGCACAUCUUUUCUCUGGCCGUUGUACAAGUGAGACUGC